rnacentral:rRNA from 1 species
AGCGAACGCUGGCGGCAGGCCUAACACAUGCAAGUCGAAGGAGAACCCGGACUUCGGUCCGGCGGAAACUGGCGCACGGGUGAGUAACGCGUGGGAACCUGCCCUUGGGUACGGAAUAACGGUUGGAAACGGCCGCUAAUACCGUAUACGCCCCAUGGGGGAAAGAUUUAUCGCCCAAGGAUGGGCCCGCGUCCGAUUAGCUUGUUGGUGAGGUAACGGCUCACCAAGGCUCCGAUCGGUAGCUGGUCUGAGAGGAUGAUCAGCCACACUGGGACUGAGACACGGCCCAGACUCCUACGGGAGGCAGCAAUGGGGAAUAUUGGACAAUGGGGGAAACCCUGAUCCAGCCAUGCCGCGUGAGUGAAGAAGGCCCUAGGGUUGUAAAGCUCUUUCAGCUGUGAAGAUGAUGACGGUAGCAGCAGAAGAAGCCCCGGCUAACUCCGUGCCAGCAGCCGCGGUAAUACGGAGGGGGCUAGCGUUGCUCGGAAUUACUGGGCGUAAAGGGCGUGUAGGCGGACUAGCCAGUCAGGCGUGAAAGCCCCGGGCUUAACCUGGGAACUGCGCUUGAUA